GAGAGAGAGAGUACGCGCAAAGCAAGGAAAAUAGUCAACUCACCCUCACUGGACGAUCCACAGUCAAAUCUUAAACCCUAGGCCAUGGAACCCCACUACCAAAAUCGAAUAAGGAACUACAGACAAUCUUGAAAAAAGUUGUGCAAAGUUUUCUACUUGAGCCUUGGGAUUUACAGAGCCACUAAAAACUACGCAUCAGAUUAAUAAUUGCUCAGAAGACUGCCUAGUGUUAACUAGAACGACGGAGUAUUGUUCAGUAUUCCAUGGAAAGAUCAAAG